UGGUGACUUUAGCGAAGAGGGUACACCCGUUCCCAUCCCGAACACGGUAGUUAAGCUCUUCCUCCCCGAUGAUACUGCGUGGGAAAAUAGGAAGUC
rnacentral:rRNA from 1 species